GCAGGCCCCGACCCAGUUGCCUGGUUUCCCGCUGCCAUCUCGCUGGCCGCGCCCGCACAAAGACCGCGCGGUGACGGCGCAGUGCCACGACCCCGCCACUCCAGCCCCGCAGGAACCGCAGCCGCCGCCGCCGCCGCCGCCGGGGAAGCAGUUCCGGCGGCCGCCGUGACGCGCAGGCAAGGCACGGCCCCGACCCGCGGGCCAUCUUGGCAGCGGAGGGAGCGGCGGAGCGACAGGUACACGCGCCGCCCGGCCCGGGCCAGCUCAGGUGCGGCCGCCCUUUGUUCUCCCGCAGGUAGUCGCGUGCCACCCGCGGGCAGCGCCUUCACCCGCAGCCCGAGCUCCGGCAGGUGCAUCCCGCCAAGUCUGGGCAGCGCAGGUCUGCGCAUCCCGUAAGGCCUGGGCAGGUCCAGCCUAUGCAUCCUGCAAGGCCUGGGAAGGUUCAGCCCGCUCAUCUCAUAAGGCCUGGGUAGGUCCAGCCUGUACAUUCUGCAAGGGUUGAGCAGGUCCAGCUCGAACAUCCUUCAAGGCCUGGGCAGGUCCAGCCAGGGCCCCACACGUUGACCCUACAAAGCCUGCAGAAAGGAACUGCGCCCAGGACAGGACCAGUGGCCUCGGGCUUGCCCUCCUAGAUUCUGCCUGGGCGCACCUGCUUCAGCACCCAAGGCCUUUUGCUCUGGUUCUCCAGCUCUCUGUGGCUUAACCUUGGCCAGCAUGGUCCAACCUCAGACCUCCAAAAACGAAAGCCCAGCCUCUGCCCCUGGUGCCAGCGCACAGAUGGAUGACGUGGUUGACACCCUGACCUCCCUGCGCCUCACCAACUCUGCGCUGAGGCGCGAGGCCUCCACGCUGAGGGCAGAGAAGGCCAAUCUUACCAACAUGCUGGAGAGCGUCAUGGCCGAGCUUACUCUGUUGCGCACCCGGGCGCGCAUCCCUGGCGCUCUGCAGAUCACUCCACCUAUCUCUGCCAUCACCUCCAAUGGGACCCGACCCAUGACCACGCCGCCCACCUCGCUGCCUGAACCCUUCUCGGGAGACCCUGGCCAGUUGGCGGGGUUCCUGAUGCAGAUGGACAGGUUCAUGAUCUUUCAAGCUUCCCGCUUCCCAGGUGAAGCCGAGAGAGUGGCCUUCCUGGUGUCUCGACUGACUGGGGAGGCCGAGAAGUGGGCCAUUCCCCACAUGCAGCCAGACAGCCCUUUGCGAAACAACUACCAGGGCUUUCUGGCCGAGCUGCGCAGAACCUACAAGUCUCCGCUGAGGCACUCACGGCGUGCACAAAUCCGGAAGACUUCGGCAUCCAAUAGGGCUGUGCGGGAGCGGCAGAUGUUGUGCCGCCAACUGGCCACAGCUGGCACAGGAGCCUGCCCAGUGCAUCCUGCCUCCAACGGGACCAGUCCGGCACCAGCCUUGCCCACCCGCAGCCGGAACCUUUAGGGAACCUGUGGCCACCCAGGUAGCUAGACUGUUGCUGAGAAGAAUUGUCGAUACAGUAGCAUUGUCCUGUGUGCAGGCAUCUUUCAUGCCUCUCCCAGUCUGUGGGAGGUCAUCCUGCCAUUCUCAUUGGUCAUCCACCCCGCUGUGCGUUUUGCUAGCUUUACCUGCAACUCAGUGCAUGUUCCUCCCCUCUGUUGCUUGCAAUCCCAGCUUCUCUAGUAAUCACAACAGAGCCCCUUGGACAUGUGCCUGCCUAGGAACCAUUUAGGCUGACCACCUCUGUGGGCUCGGCUAGUGGACAUUCAGCUUCUGUGCCCUCCCUCCAAGCACCCUGGCGAUCCCCUUCCUGGUCACUCUGGUCUUGCUGAUGAGUUCUGAAUAGAAAGAAACCAGCUUGGCUCUGAAGGUGGCUGAUGUAUACCUGAACCAGCUUGCCCACAUCUGGUCCCUUUGCAAGGAAGCCAGGUAGUCAGUCACUCUGCAUUCCAGGGAUCCUUUCCUCUAUGGGGGAGCCUGUGUUCCAGCAUACCCCACUGCUGUUGCUGGGAACACAUCUGGCCCUUCACAGACGUUCCCUCUGCCUCUCCUGUCCGCAGGAGACUCAUCCACACCUGUCUGUGACUGCCAGUGUCUUGAUGGCAUCAGGGAAAUCUAGCAUUCGUCUACCAAGUUAAUCAUGGACCUGGGACCCUGGGCAGUUCCAUCAGGCUGCCUAGGCAACAUCCAUGCGUCAGCCAUAGCAGACUGAGGGGGACCUGGGGACCCCAUUUGCUGCCUGGAUUUCCGUUGAGAGGCUCACGGGUGUCUGCUCCUUUCUGCCCAUGUGGCUCCAUGGUGGCCUUGUCUAACCUCAGGCCCUUUUCCACCCAGGGGCCAUGUGGCUUUCACCUCAGCCUUUCAGCCGCCCACACCAUCUCUAGGGGUCCAAGGAACCCACCAACAUAUACCCUCUCUGUGCCUGGGCCUAAUGUCUAGCCUCUGUCCAAGAACAAAAGACUGGCUGGGGGCCAAUUCCUCUAGAAAGCAUCGGGCACCUUCGGUAGUGGGUGUUGGCCUCUUGCUGCCCCAGUCUGAAGAACUGGUGAAGAGCAGCCAAUGGCUUUGGUCCUCAUAUGGACACACAUUCCAGUUCUGAGGAACAAAACAUUGACUUCUUCACAGAAGAAUGCCUGGAGAUGGUAUUCAGACUCAGCCGAGCUCCUGGACAGUGACAUGUGUCACAUUUCAACGCCAGAUUAACUGUUUACAUGCCCACUUGGCCCCUUGGGGGAGAUGGGUGCCUCUCCUGGGUUCUCCUGCCCUCCUCUGCAUGGUCUUAGCUUGACCACAAAAAACCCCACCUCUGCACCCACCCAAAUACAUUUCUCCCCUCUUGGGAGUCCAGAGGCUGGGGCCUGGAACCUGGCCUCUUUCAGAGACUUCCUCCGUCAUUGGGAAAAGUGACUGAUUCCAAAGCAGGCGCCCUUGCAAGGCCAGGAAUCUUCAAUGCUCGCUGGCCUCACAGCCCAUGGCCACCUGCUUCUUGUUAACUUUGUUAGCCCAGUAGCCUUGCUGAAGAGCCUGGACCAAGGCACCCUGCUGGCACCGUGGUGCUUCAUGAGCAGGUGGAAGACUCCCUGGGGGUUCCACUGAGGGUGCUCACCGGUCCCCAAGAGCUGAGUCUCAGGACCUUCCAGUAGAGGGCCCCCCCCAGUGAAGCUACAGCAUCACCAGAGAAGCGGGGAGGUGUCUGUGGAGGCAAGAGACACCUGGAAGGUUUCUUUGUGGCCUUUUCGAUCAGGAUUGGAGACCCACUGGAAGGGCAUGCCACCUACCCUGGCUCCUUGGACCACCGGGUGCUGUAUUGGCUUUAUGUCCCACUCCAGAGUCCUCGGCUGGUGGUGCUGGAGACAGAGCCAAGCAGGCCAGCUGUCUCCCUGUGUGGCUUCACCGUCUCCCUUUGCCAUCUGGGCUGACUCACCUGGGUCGCUCUGCUGCAGUGGGUUCACGCUGCUGCUCUGGUGGCAUGGGCUUGGUGAUUGUGUUUUGUUGUCAUCCCCCCCGCCCCCGUGCUUGUGUUUAUGGAAAUGGGGGGCAGUGCUGCCCUGUAUUUAGAACCAUCUCGAUAGCUCUCUGUGGCUUGGAGCCUGGAGCACAUGAGAGAGGGUUGAGGCUUGCCCUCCACCUUGGACCUGGAAGAGCCGCUUUGGAUCUGUUACUGAGGAGCCCAUGGAGGCUCUAUCGGAGGGCAUGGUUAGUCCCUAGCCAAAAUGAUGAGAUGCAAGGCCCAUGUAGCUCCAGAGGGAGACCUUGAUAAUUGGGCAUCAAGCUGAGGAAGAGGGGGAGGGGAGGGGCAGCUUUGUACAUAUCCCAAGGUUGUAGUUUCUUGAGCUCAGAAGAGAGCAGGGAGAGGGAGACAGAGGAGUUGCUGUACGAAGGAGUGGCCUUUCUCUCGGCAUUGACUGUUGCAGCAGUACUGUGCCUGCUCCCCAGACUCUGUGACGCCCAUCUGGUAAGCAGGCUUCACUGUGUUCAGUGUAACUGACAGUGGGACCUGGCAUGCGGGUAACUUCCCAGCCUAGUCUGUAAUGUGACCUUGGGGUUCUCUUCAUAUCCCAGAGCAUUUAGUGACUUUGAGGAAACAGCAAAGACCCAUCUCGUUGGCCCCAGCCGAGUACGUGACAGGCGUGAAUGCUGCAUGAUAGUACAUUUGGGUUGGCCCGAGACAGGUGCCUUUUGUUGCAGAGGACAGAGCCACUACUGGAUGAGCACGCCCUGAGCAUCCGCCUGCAGGGGAGUGAAUGGAGGCGGGGAAGCUGGUGUGGGCUGAGGGUGAUUUAGGGGGUAAGCCUGGGGCUUGGCUGUAGCACGCUGGGGACAGGGCAUCAGGUGGCAGGGCUCUGCAGUGUAACAUGCAUGAUAAGUCCGUUCUGUUGCCCUUUGCCCCAUCCAGUGCCACCAACAGCUGGACCAGAGCGUCCCGUUCUCCAUGGCAGCACACAUCAGGAAGCUUAGGGGACCAGGGAGAGGAAAGGACAUGGUCAAAUUCAGUGCUUUGAGGCUUCCUUCCUGUCCCUGGCCCCAUCUUUCUUCGCCUCUUACACACCCAUGGACCCCCACCGUGCGCAUAUGACACAGCUGUUCCCAUGUGCCACCAACCUUACUCUGAAUGGCUCUGAACUCUCCCCUCAGGUGGAGGGACAGUGCUGCGUACCGGCAGAAAUUUGUGUCAGGUUUUCCUCCGAGGGCCAAGUUACUCCCUUGGGGUAGACUCUCAAAGGUGGGAUUGUUGGAUUAACAAAUACGGGGCCCUCUGAGACUUUUAUUGUCUCCUGACAAAACGGUUUCCAGAAAUUUCUGUGUCCAUUACACUGCCAGCAGCCAGGGCUGAGUAUUCUCUGACUUGAGGACAGCAGCGACAUGCUUUAGUCGCAUCUCUCGAGUCUAGCUCGUUGAGCGUCUUUUUACACCAAGUGACUGCAUUUCCUCUUUUGCAGACUGCCGAUGUCCUUUGCUCCACUGAUGGGCCUGACCAGUUUGUUUCCACGAGGCAGCGGAAGGCCCAGACUGCUCCUGUCUGUAGUCUCUGUGACACUGUGGUGAACCCCUGAGGAAAUCCACUGCACGCUGAUGAGAUGGAAGGGAAGUCACACAAUGUCGUACAGAGUGGCCUUGUAGAGUAGACGCCACUGGGCUGGGAAGGGCUAAGAGCAGGUGGUCCUGACCCACUCUGGAGCCUCUGGGAUGGCUCUUAGUACUUUGAACCUCAGGCCUCCCCCCCCCGCAAUAAACUGUCAUUUCUGGGAUUAAUUCGGUGCGUCUUGUGAGAUGUGUCCUCCACACCCACACCGUACAGCGGUCCUUCCCUGGAGUGUCUGGCCCGUCCCACGGACUGCCCUGUUCUGGUCCAUUUCGUGUUUGUGUUUGGACUGAGAUCUGGUAAGGUUCCUACUUCACACGUUCUUACCUCUUACCACUAAAACAAUUAAUUUCUAAGGUUUCCCUUAAAAUCCCCAUAGCAGGUGCAGCUUGGGGAGGGAUACCAUCGCUGUGAAGGUUCCUGGUGGCGUUGGGCAGCCGCAGAACCCUGUCAUCAGAGGUUGGGUGACCCUUGCUCUGGCCAGCAGCAGACCCAGACCUGAAUGCUGCCACCAUGUGUCUGUGUCUCUGGUGUGUAAGAAUCUGUCCCAGCUGGCUGUCCUCUGCUUUGUACAGGUGCAGAGCAUUUAGUGGCUUCCUAGAUGUCCCCAGGAGAUUGUCAAGGGUCUACCAUCCCCUUCGACCUGACAGUAGAGAGAUAGAGGUGUAGGCCCCAACCCAUCCCUUUGUCUGGCCCAAGUAAAAGCUGGUAACUAUGACUGGGGACCUGGGCCAACAUGCCAGUGACCAUGUGCCUCCUCUCGGCUUCUCUACUUGGCCUAGGGGACUCUGGUGGUCUAUUGUCUGUCCACGCUGUCCCCAAAGGAGUGGAAACGAUGUCAACCCACCUUUCUUCAGCCCACACAUGCCCCCCACCCAGGCCUGACACUAACCAUUGAGGGGCCAGCCUAGAUCCUUUCCUGCUUCUCAGGCCUGGACAGCCCGUCUUGUUCUCUUUCCAAUGACACUUGACACAGAUUUAAGGUUGCUGUUAGAACGCCCCCUGACCUGGUUAGGGUUUUCCUGGUUGCCCCUCCCCCAGCCUCUCGUCUGUCCAGUGUUUUAUGUUUCCACUGAACUUGGGUCUUUUCCACCAAAUGGUGCAUCUCGAGGGCAGGGGUUCUGCCAACCGUGUCCCCAGGGCCUGGCUUGCUCAAGGCAGCUGUGAUCAUACAGCAGACAAAGACAUGGCGGCUGUCCUGGUCACAUAGCCCGUGCCAGAGCAGCUGUCUGCCUGGCACUCUGGGGAAGCCCACAUACCCCACACUCUGUCCUACUUUGCAAGGUGGGAUCAUCUGUUCCUAUGCCUCUCGACCCACUUAAUAGGCAAGGAGAGCCGGCCUUGGGGAGGACAGGGCAUUGUCUUUGGGAAUUCCUUAACAAUAAACGUUUCAUUCCCUGGUCUGGCUACAUGGAUUAAGCACUCACAUUCCUUUGCAAAUGUAACUUUUUGGCAAUUUCUUUCAUCACAAGCCAUGCUGUAACAACAGCCCCAGUAGCCAAUUUUCCUGGGAACACUUCCUCUCUUGUCAACAGGACCUUGUUCUCAGGCUCAACAGCUCCCUAUCUGCUUAAUAAGGGCCAUUGCUAGUACAUAGGAAAAAGGGAACGCAUUGCGGUCCCUCUGAACACGUGGGGAACACAGUUUCUCAGUCCCUCCUCAGAAUGUAGCAGUUUGUGGUGACCAGAAUUCCCUGGACAGCUGGAGGCUCUUUUUCCAAAUAGUAGAGAUAAAUGUGUUAUUUUUUAUUUAGUUUUUAUUUCAUUUUUGUGGGGUUGGUUUUCACAUUUUUAUUGGGGAGCAACUGGGAAGGGGGCCUCUUCCAUCAGCAGGAACAUUCACAGGUUAUUCAGCCAUUCCAGGCUUGGGCCCUGAGGGUACUGGGGGUGGCUGGGCAAACGGGCCUAUGCCCAUUAUCUCACACAGGCACUGGGUAGUUGUAGGGUGUGGCCUGGGUGAUCAUGCCCGCAUACUUGGUGUAGGGGCUGACUAUGGGCAUAAUUAUACCAAGACCCCAGACGGAGGGUACCACCAGUACUGGCUCCUUUGCCCAGGUAUUCUUGAGGAAGGUGGAGAGUCUCCUGGCCAUCUUGGUCUUGACCAGUGUGUUAUUUUUUAAAUACUACCAUCUGCAGUAGAAUGAAAGCGUGUCCCCAAAUUCAAAUCUUGAAAUCUGCACCCUAAUGUCAUACUGUUGAGAAACAAAUGUUUGUUGUUCAGGCCACAGUCUGUGACACUGUGGUGGCUUGAGAGAGGACAGUCACCGAGGUUCACGUGUGUGAACACAUGGACUCCAGGGGAUUGAGCUGUGCAGGAGGUUAUGCAGCCUUGCUGGAGGAAAUACGUCAGUGCGGGGUGGGCUUUGAGGGCUCAUAGCCUCUCCCACUGCCAAUUGCUCUCUCUGCUUCCCACUUGUGGAUGGAGAUGUGAUCUCUCAGCUUCCUGCUGUCUCCCUGUCAUGAUGGCCUCUCCCUCUAGAACUCUAAGCCAAAGCAAACUCUUCAUAAGUUGCUUUUGGUCAUGGUGUUUAAUCACAGCAACAGAAAAGUGACUAAUACAGCCACCUCAGCAACCACCCCUGAGCUAGAGUCCACCACACUGAAAUCUCCAACCUGCAGGCAAUUUCUAAACCUGACUCUUUGGGUUUUUUUUCGUAGUGAUGUUUUCUAUGAUGGCCGAGCUGGAUGGUUUUAUGUCAACUUGACACAAGCUAAAGUCAUCUGAGAGGAGAGAAUGUCAAUUAAGAAAAUGCCUUUAAGAGAUCAGGUCUGGUCACCGGUGUGUGAGGGAAGAGAUUGCAGAAUGGAAGCAGCAGGUUUCAGACCUGGCCUGGAGGGCUGGCACCAGCCCAGAAGCCUGGGCAGCUGCUGGGGCUGUGGCCUUGAACUUGGGAUGUAGCCCAGGCAGGCACCUUCUUCUGUGGGCCUGGGCCACCGAAUGUUCCAGACAAGUAGUAGAAUUUUUCCAGCAUGUCUUUCAAGCUUCUGUUCCAACGUCUGAGUCCAGCUAGAGGAGAGGACCCUCUUGACCAGAACUGUGUGACUCAGAAAGACACGGGAGGAGGAAAUGGGUGACAUGCUCAGAAGAGGCUCCUGGGAAGUUGCUGGGGAGAGCAUGAGAGCAGCAGCCCCUGGCCAUCACCCAGCAGAGCUCCAGGAAUGUGGAUCUCAGACCCGGGCUCCGCGUCCUCUGAGUAACACGGUAGUGCCAUCAUCCCAGUGAAGGUGAGGACAUGGCUGGAGAGACUUGGAAAUCUGUCCUAGAAACAUCAAAGAGAAAAAGAAAGCAGUGAAUAAAAUCUGAGUCAAGAGGUGAGGAGCCUGGAGAGGUGGAGUCUGCAGCCUGGACUCAUUUUCCCCAGAGAGCAACUGUUCUGGAAGGAGAAGGUGACAGACUGAGGGUGAGGGGUGGGAACAGGGUGAUGACAAGCUUCUCCACUCAGCAUUUAGGGGUGGACUCCAGAAGCUAAGUAGUUCGUGGGUGCUAAAGUGGCUGUCUUGAGUGAUCAAGGUGGUGCUCCCAUCCCCCGGUUCAGAUCAAACCAGCCUUGAAUGCUGGCGUCCCCAACCAACCAGAGAAAUAGAAAAGUUCUCCUUAGAGGGGGGUAAAGCCAUCUAAAGUAUUUCCAUGGAGACUUUCUCAAAUAUAACAUCCGAUCCAUCACCACAGAUGAUUAACAGAGAAGAAAAUAAGAACACAGGAAGGAGACCAGAGGCAGCACCGGACACCCCUCAGAUGUCCGGACAGCGGAGCAGGACACGACACAGUCUUCAAGCUGGUUUCGGGGCUAAAAGUAGAACUUAAAAAUAUCAGUGUUGGGGAAAGGCUGGGGAGAUGGCCCCGUCCGUGGUGAAGAGCACCUGCUGCUCUUGCAGCGGUCGUGGGCUCUGAGUCCCAGCACCCACAUGAGUGGGGGAGCUCGCAACCACCUGUGAAUCCAGUUCCUCUCCUGGCCUCGGUGGGCACGCACACAUGUGGUGUACAUGAACUUACACAGGCACACACACACACACACACGCACAAAAAUUCUUAAGAAAAAGAGAGGAAGAAGAACAUGAAAAGCUGGUGAUGUGACUCGGAGGGCGAAGCGCUUGCUGUGGCAAACUUGGUGGCCUCCGUUUGAUCACCAGCACCCACAGUGGAAGUGGAGAACAGAGUCCUGAAAAUUAUCCUCUGGCCCCCACACGUGCACCGUGGCACGCACAUGCCUGCACACACUCGCACACGUACACAUUAGUAUGUAUAUAAUUGUGCGCAUACGUAUGUAGAGAAAUGGAGUAGACACGGUAACAGGCACAUUGGAAGACGCUAAUUAAAUUUGACUGUGACACCAACAACCAACAAUAAGGGGCCAACAGAGAGACCGAUUUAACAGUGUCAGGUCUCAGAGGAACCCAGGAGACGUCUCACUCAGUACCUGUGGCUCCUCCCAGCACUGCUGACCCCGCCCCCUACCCUCAACCUCUCCAACCCGGGAGCUGCGUUUCCCUUCCCUUGGAUUCCUGUAUCACCCUGCCAUUUUGGUCACUUCCUCUCUUGGUUCCUGGUUCUUCUCUUUCCCAUCCCUUUCCCCCACCUCGUCUCUCAUGGCCCGGUUCAUGUCCGGUCUCGACUCUCCCAGACGCCUCUGGCUGGUCUCUCCCUCCUAUCCACAAUUAACCUUCUCCUCAACCACACAGAGGAACGGCCAUGUCCUCAUUUUUUUUUUUCAUUCAAACAGCAGAAGGGGGAGCUGGAAAUUCAUAUGCAGAGUGAAAUCUUGAAUGGGAGGACAGGAAAGGAGAGGACUCUGGAAGAGGGUAACAGAAUGUCGGAGGGAAAGAAAGCGGUCCAAGUACAGUUAAGACCCGAAGAGAUCACCUUUGGGGGAUUUUCUGCUGAUGGAGACAGGAGUACACCAUUGGAUUCACGUAGCUCAACUGUUGGGGGACAUUUUCUGGAGAGAUGAGAAUAAACAGCUAUUCUUCCAAUGGGUGUGGAUCAAGGAAACCAUCCCACUGCAGUCCAGGAUGGUGAGCCAGUGUGUGUUUGGGGGUUACUUAAGGGACACUGGUGACUCAGAGGUGGCUCCAUCACCAGAAAGUCCACCUUUCUGGUCUUCUCUCUCCAGAAAGUGUUCACUAUUUUUAAAACCUCAGGGAGGAGCUGUGUGAACCCUGUAAGCUGCUGAGCUGAGCCUGAGCCUUGUGGAUUUGGGAAGCUUCUUGAGUUUUCCAAGUCUCCCUCCAUCUUCCAGGAGGGACAUUCUGUCUCAUCACAUAGGCAGGGAGUCUUCCAUCUUGGAGACAGGGCUUCUGGCUAACAAAGCCCUAGGGGAGAAAGCUGCAGGCAAUGUAUGAAUACACCCGGGGUCUCUAUUCUCAGGCCCAGAGGCUGAGUGCUCACUGAGCUAUGCACUGAAGAAAACCCAUUGCUUUGUGGAAUUUUCCACAUGGCCUUAACCAGAAACAUCCUUAGGUUUUCCAAACACCUGUCUAACCUGAACAAAGAAAUACUGCCUCUCAGCUUAAUCUGAUGAUGUCAUGUGACCUUGGACCUACUUUCCCAUGUUACUACCUCCUUCCCAAGGGAUCUUGAAAGAAAUGCCCUUUGGGGGGCUGGAGAGUUGGUUCAGUGGUUAAGAGCACUGUCUGCUCUUUCAGAAGACCCAGGUUCAGUUCUCAGCACCUGUAUUGUGGUUCACAACCUUUGUAAGUCCAGUUCCCAGGGGUUCGAUGCCCUCUUCUGGCCUCCAGGGGCAGUGGGCAUGCCUGUGGUGCACAUACAUACAUGCCUACAAAACAUCCGCACAAAUAAAAAAAAAAAAAAGAAAAAAGAAAAAAGCGAAAUGCCUUUCUGCCUUUCCUGGGCAGGCUGGGGUUUUGCUUCCCUCUGCAGGGUUGCCGACAACAUUAAUAAGUGUUUUGCCUGGAGGCAGAUCCUGCACUGUGGCUUCCUAGAACCGAGCCUCGCUCUAAACCUAACAACUUCAAUUAAGAAGAAGAAACUCCACAGCAUUAAUAAGUCCAAACACACUCCGCAGAGGUUCUCACCGAGAAGCAGAUGCAUUGACCACAGCGGUGAGAAAUCUCCCUUGUACACAGGCGCAGACGGGAGGGAGCACGGAGCGGGUGAGGAGCCACUGACAGCUGUCUUUCCAAACAACAACAGAGACGAAACAGAAGGAUUGAAAGCCAAGCACAGCCAAGAACUGUAACCACGGAUCUAAAGUUACAGAACUGAAGAAUAAUGAAGGUGAAACUCUGUACCCAGUAGAGCAACCCCCUCCUCCCUGCUGGCGAGCAGAGAUGGCCAGCGUGUAGAGGCUUCCCCUCUAGCCCAAUGUCUUAGGUGUUCCUACAUAUUAGAUUAUAAGAUCCAGA